rnacentral:rRNA from 1 species
GCAUAAUCACUUGUCCCUUAAAUCGGGACUGGAAUGAACGGCUAAAUGAGGACUAAGCUGUCUCUUACAGGCUAGCCAAUGAAAUUGAUUUUCCAGUACAAAAGCUGGAAUAUAACCACAAGACGAGAAGACCCUGUGGAGCUUACAAACCAAAUUCACCAAACAUGUCUUUAUCGGUUUUCAGUUGGGGCGACUUUGGAGUAAAAAACAACCUCCAAACACCAAACUAAUUAAGAACAACAUAUCAAAAUAUAUCUGUAAUGACCCAGCAACCCUGUGGUUGUCUGAUUAAUGAACCAAGUUACCCCAGGGAUAACAGCGCCAUCCCCUUCUAGAGUCCCUAUCGACAAGGGGGUUUACGACCUCGAUGUUGGAUCAGGACACCCCAAUGGUGCAGCCGCCAUUAACGGUUCGUUUGUUCAACGAUUAAAGUCCAACGUGAU